UACGGGGGGAGCAAGCGUUGUUCGGAUUUACUGGGCGUAAAGGGCGCGUAGGCGGCCACCGCAAGUCGACUGUGAAAUCUCCGGGCUUAACCCGGAAAGGUCAGCCGAUACUGCGGGGCUAGAGUGCAGAAGGGGCAACUGGAAUUCUCGGUGUAGCGGUGAAAUGCGUAGAUAUCUGGAGGAACACCGGUGGCGAAGGCGACAUCCUGGACUACUACUGACGCUGAGUGAGCGAAAGCCAGGGGAGCAAACAGG
rnacentral:rRNA from 1 species